GAUGAACGCUAGCGGCAGGCUUAAUACAUGCAAGUCGUGGGGCAGCAUGAGUAGCAAUACUUGAUGGCGACCGGCAAACGGGUGAGGAACACGUACACAACCUUCCUUCAAGCGGGGAAUAGCCCAGAGAAAUUUGGAUUAAUACCCCAUAAUAUAUUUGAUAAGGCAUCUUAUUAAAUAUUAAAGCUUCGGCACUUGAUGAUGGGUGUGCGGCUGAUUAGAUAGUUGGCGGGGUAACGGCCCACCAAGUCUACGAUCAGUAGCUGAUGUGAGAGCAUGAUCAGCCACACGGGCACUGAGACACGGGCCCGACUCCUACGGGAGGCAGCAGUAGGAAUAUUGGACAAUGGACGAAAGUCUGAUCCAGCCAUGCCGCGUGAAGGAUUAAGGU
rnacentral:rRNA from 1 species